ensembl:lncRNA
UGGUUUAUAAACAAGGGACCUUUAUUUAUUAUAGUUCUGGAGGUUGAAAAAUCAAGAUCAAGAUGUUGGUAGAUUUGGUGUCUGGUGAGGACUCUCUUCCGGACUUGCAGAUGGCUGCCAUCUUUCUAUAUCCUCGUAUGGCAGAGAGAGUGCUAUGGUCUGAGUGUUUGCAUUUCUCCAGGAUUCAUGUGUUGAAGCCUAUCCCCAGUGUGAUGGUAUUAGGAGGUGGAUCCUUGGGGAUAAUUCAGUUGUGGGAAUGGAGCCCUUAUGAAUAGGAUUAGUGCCCUUAUAAAAGAGACCCCAGAGAGCUGUCUCGCCCCUUCCACCGUGUGAAGACACAGCAAAAAAAAGUACUGUUUAUGAACCAGAAGGUGAGCCCUCAACAGACACUGAAUCUGCUAGCACUUUGAUCUUGGACUUUCCAGCCUCCAGAAUUGUGAGUAAUACAUUUCUGUUGUUCAUAACCCACCCAGUCUGUGGUAUUUUAAAAUAACAGCCUAAAUGGACUAAGAAAGAGAGUGAGAUCUUUCUUCCUCUUCUGAUAAGGGCACUAAUCCCAUGACGAGGGCCUGAUCCUCAUGACCUCAUCUAACUCUAAUUACCUUCCAUAGGCUCAUGUCCUAAGUAUCACCACAUUAUGAGGUAGGGCUUCAACAUAUGAAUUUUGGGGGAGCUCAUCAAUCCAUAGCAGACACCCAGAAGCAGGCUUUGUUGUGUUGUUAACUUCCCCUGAAGAUACUUCCUGCUGUUCUGCAAAUAGAUAUUGAAUGAAAUAAGACUUAGAGGGAGGCCUCUUCCACUUGCCAUCUCUCCACCCAUCUCACCCCUGCCUGAGUGUUGCAAUCCCUACCUUGCAUCAUGAAAGUCAGAGGUGGGACCCCACUGAAGACCUGGGUUCAACUCCUGACCUCCCCACUUCCCAUCACGACAGUUUAGUUUGUCUUUCCAGCUCCAGGCAUCUUAUUUAAAAGUGACCUGGCAGGGGUGUUGGGAUGGGUGCGCAGGAUUUAAAUAUACAGACUGCAUGGUAUGUAGAAGAUCAAAAGAGGAAGGUUUCUCAGAGGGAUGCCACCACCUUCAAAUGCCUCUGCUCAACUCCUGGUACUCAGCAGGGUGAGUAUUUUUAUUCCUGUUUCGCAGAUGAGGAGACUGAUGCUAAGAGACUUUUGCUGAUUUGCCUGAAGUCAUAUAACUAGUGAAUAGCAGACCCUAAAUUCUGAGCCAGGGCUCCCAGCUCAUGGCCAGAACCUUCCUCACUGUGCUACAUGGCCCACAUCAUCAGAGUCAGGUAGAGACCCUCUCUGAGCCAGGCUCCCUAUAGUGCCCCAGCCCCCAUGUUGGGAAGACCCUCCCCACACCCUGCUCCCUAGAGAGCCCUGUAUUUGUAACAAGAUCCCAAAGAAGCAUCCCAUGCCCAGAGCUGGUCGGGAGACUGCCUUCUUGGUGACGUCUUCCUUGAGUGCCAGUGGGGAGGGAGGAAAGCGGGCAGUGGGGUCCACCACCCUUGGGCAUUUGCCCAUUCUCACCAUGAUGCACAGGAUACUGAGAACCACUCCCCAAAUGGAUAGAGGUGAGAGAAGAGAGGCCCAAUGCUUUCAUACAUUCCCGAUCCCCUUUCCUGGAAAAUAUGGAAGGAUCAGAGCUCUCACCCUCCAAUUCAGCUCACAAGGCUGGGGCCGAGCUCCAUCUGCAUCUCUGGGUGCCCAGAUCGGUCCUGCCUUUGUGCCUUACCUGAAAAUGGAUGCCGUGCAACAGGACAAUGACAACACAGGGACAUGAGAUUAAAUACAGAAAUAAGCAUUGCAGGCAACAAGGACCCCAGAGGGAGGGGUCUGGAAGGCCUGGAGCAGUCAGGGAUGCCUUCCAGGAGAGAUGUGGCCUGAGCUCAUCCUGGGAGAAUGAGAAGGGAGGAUGACGGUCUUCGAGGAAGCAGAAAGACAAGCACAGCCUUGAAAGGCAGGGAUAACAGGGAUAAGUGUGUGGGCUGCUCACACUGUCCUACACAUCACAUGCCCAGAGUUUGCCCUAAGAAUGCACCCCUCCCAGAUGAGAUCUGAAUUUUCUGGAAGCCCCAAGAGCUGUCCCCCCAGGGCAGCGAUGGUGGGCGUCUCAGUGUGGUGCAGUGCCAGGCAGGGCCCCAGGCUCCCCGCCCUUCGGUGCCGCACGGCCAGUGUUCAUUAUUCUCAGUCCUCCCCUAGCUCUGCCCUCCUGGAGAGGAGAGCAUUUUCCAGGACAGGUUUCAGAGACAGAAGGACAAGGGCCUCCUAGGGAGGGGACAGUGGCUCCAGAUGCUGGCCUUGACAUGGAAAAAGCCUGGGAGUCCCAGAUGUGGGCCAUCUCUUCAAGGAAUUUGUCAUCUCCUGGGGGACUCCAGGGCCCAGAGCACAGCUGCUUCAAAGGUGGGUUCCCUGUGGCAUUGCCAUGUCCUUUGCAUUUGGCAAAGUGUCUGGUCCUAGCUAAAAAAAAUGGAACACACACCGGCUGUGGCUGCUGCAAGAGGAGACAUGUAUAUCACUCCCAGCUCCUGCUUCCUCUCCACACACAUGCACACACCACCCCACACACCACACACACACACCACAUGUACACACACACACCCACACACCCACACACCCACACAUGCACACACCACCCCACACACCACACACACACACCACAUGUACACACACACCCACACACCCACACACCCACACAUGCACACACCACCCCACACACCACACACACACACCACAUGUACACACACACCCACACACCCACACACCCACACAUGCACACACCACCCCACACACCACACACACACACCACAUGUACACACACACACCCACACACCCUCACACCCACACAUGCACACACCACCCCACACACCACACACACACACCACACAUGUACACACACACCC